rnacentral:rRNA from 1 species
UACGUAGGGUGCAAGCGUUAUCCGGAAUUAUUGGGCGUAAAGAGCUCGUAGGCGGUUUGUCGCGUCUGCUGUGAAAACUGGGGGCUCAACCCCCAGCCUGCAGUGGGUACGGGGCAGACUAGAGUGCGGUAGGGGAGAUUGGAAUUCCUGGUGUAGCGGUGGAAUGCGCAGAUAUCAGGAGGAACACCGGUGGCGAAGGCGGGUCUCUGGGCCGAUACUGACGCUGGAGGAGCGAAAGCGUGGGGAGCAAACAGG